AAUUUAACAAAAUGACAAUAUAUUUUAUAAUUUGUAGUUUCUCCAUGGAAAAUGACGAAGGACGAAGGGCCGCGCAAUUGAGAGGCCGGAAAGUGGCGUCAUCUUGUUAAGCAGCAGUCGGCAAAUCAGGGCCCAGGGCGAGGCGAUCCGUCUAGUGAUGUGACAAUAAACGGAUGGCAAGCUGUCAGGUGCGAGUGCUUUAAAGUUAUUCUGUAACAAAAGGUCUAUAAAAAAAUAAGGAGGAGAAACGUCCUCUGUGAAACUUUCCUAAGCACCUGCACAGGUAGAGAAGCCAGGUGCAGUUGCAGUAUAACGUCGCGUCGCGUUGCAAAAACUUAACGCGAAUUACUUUGAAAUGUCGAAAAUCCAAAUAAGCAGAAGUUUAACGCGGUCGUAAAAUUCGAAGAGUUGCUUAUUCAAAGAUGUUACGACGCGCGAGGGAACGGAGUUGUGAACAAUUCAGCGAUGCGACGACGAUUCGACGAAUCGACGACGAUGACGACGAUUCACAAACAUAUGCCGGAGUCAAAGGACAAAGAUUGCGCCGCCCGCGAUCGUCCGAGGGAUGCCGUACAGUGUGCGCUAAUGAAGCAGCAAGUCUUUGUGCUGCUUUUAUUCUCUUACGUCAUCAAAUCCAGCGGCGGCGACGACGACGACGGCACGACCUGGCCGCGUUCUCAGCGCGUAGGACGGCUUGGCUCUUGGCUUGCGCAAGGCUCAAUCAAAGACCGACCUCUCGCGGACCAUCCUGGAAGCAAGCCAGAUAAUGUGUUUUUCCUCUGACUUUAGGCAUUUCAAGCUAACGCAUAAUAUAUGCAGGAUUAUUCAAUAAUCUUGGAGCGCAUUUUCAAGCGUAAGAAAACGCACUGCAACUCGCACGCUGUAUUCCUCGCUCGCUCACGAGCUGUUUCGCAGCGACCAAGGCGAACUUCUUCGUUCUCCAACUCGUCAUCGCCGCCGCCACUCAGUCGCGAUAUCCAGCGCUUAUAUCUUUAGCAACCGCGACUGGAAAUCGAAUCUGGGAGACUCGCUUGUCGGAGGACUGCGCCUCCACUAUCAAUAAGCUACACAGAUCCUGGAAAGUUUAGCAAGAUUGACACUUGCAAUUUGUAUUUUCCCGACAUUUUCAAGGUAUAGGUAAAAAUAAUAAAAAAAU